UACGAGGGGAGCAAGCGUUGUUCGGAUUUACUGGGCGUAAAGGGCGCGUAGGCGGUCGUUCAAGUCGAGUGUGAAAGCCCCCGGCUCAACUGGGGAGGGUCACUCGAUACUGAUCGACUCAAAGGCAGAAGAGGGAAGCGGAAUUCCCGGUGUAGUGGUGAAAUGCGUAGAUAUCGGGAGGAACACCAGUGGCGAAGGCGGCUUUCUGGUCUGCUCUUGACGCUGAGGCGCGAAAGCUAGGGUAGCAAACGGG
rnacentral:rRNA from 1 species